CUCGUGAAACUCCGUCGUGCUGGGGAUAGAGCAUUGUAAUUUUUGCUCUUCAACGAGGAAUUCCUAGUAAGCGCAAGUCAUCAACUUGCGUUGAUUACGUCCCUGCUCUUUGUACACACCGCCCGUCGCUACUACCGAUUGAAUGGCUUAGUGAGGCUUCAAGAUUGGCGCUGCGGCGGAGGCAACUCUGCCCUGGCGCCGAGAAUUUAGUCAAACUUGGUCAUUUAGAGGUCGUAAAAGUCGUAACAAGGUUUCCGUAGGUGAACCUGCGGAAGGAUCAUUAC
rnacentral:rRNA from 1 species